GGGAAUGAACACGGCCCGAUUCCUUCGGGAGGCACCGUGGGGAAUUUGGACAAGGGCGCAACCCUAUCCAGCCCUGCCGGGGUGGGAAGAAGGCCUUAAGGUUGUAAAGCACUUUAAGCGGGAGGAGGCUACUUUAGUUAAACCUAGAGAUAGUGGACGUUACUCGCAGAAUAAGCACCGGCUAACUCUGUGCCAGCAGCCGCGGUAAUACAGAGGGUGCAAGCGUUAAUCGGAUUUACUGGGCGUAAAGCGCGCGUAGGCGGCUAAUUAAGUCAAAUGUGAAAUCCCCGAGCUUAACUUGGGAAUUGCAUUCGAUACUGGUUAGCUAGAGUGUGGGAGAGGAUGGUAGAAUUCCAGGUGUAGCGGUGAAAUGCGUAGAGAUCUGGAGGAAUACCGAUGGCGAAGGCAGCCAUCUGGCCUAACACUGACGCUGAGGUGCGAAAGCAUGGGGAGCAAACAGGAUUAGAUACCCUGGUAGUCCAUGCCGUAAACGAUGUCUACUAGCCGUUGGGGCCUUUGAGGCUUUAGUGGCGCAGCUAACGCGAUAAGUAGACCGCCUGGGGAGUACGGUCGCAAGACUAAAACUCAAAUGAAUUGACGGGGGCCCGCACAAGCGGUGGAGCAUGUGGUUUAAUUCGAUGCAACGCGAAGAACCUUACCUGGCCUUGACAUAGUAAGAACUUUCCAGAGAUGGAUUGGUGCCUUCGGGAACUUACAUACAGGUGCUGCAUGGCUGUCGUCAGCUCGUGUCGUGAGAUGUUGGGUUAAGUCCCGCAACGAGCGCAACCCUUUUCCUUAUUUGCCAGCGAGUAAUGUCGGGAACUUUAAGGAUACUGCCAGUGACAAACUGGAGGAAGGCGGGGACGA
rnacentral:rRNA from 1 species